rnacentral:misc_RNA from 1 species
GAAAUGCGAUAAGUAGUGUGAAUUGCAGAAUUCAGUGAAUCAUCGAAUCUUUGAACGCACAUUGCGCCCUUUGGUAUUCCAAAGGGCAUGCCUGUUCGAGCGUCAUUUGUACCCUCAAGCUUUGCUUGGUGUUGGGCGUCUUGUCUCUAGCUUUGCUGGAGACUCGCCUUAAAGUAAUUGGCAGCCGGCCUACUGGUUUCGGAGCGCAGCACAAGUCGCACUCUCUAUCAGCAAAGGUCUAGCAUCCAUUAAGCCUUUUUUUCAACUUUUGACCUCGGAUCAGGUAGGGAUACCCGCUGACCUUAAGC